rnacentral:rRNA from 1 species
CCUACGGGAGGCAGCAGUGGGGAAUAUUGGGCAAUGGAGGAAACUCUGACCCAGCGACGCCGCGUGCGGGAUGAAGGCCUUCGGGUUGUAAACCGCUUUCAGUAGGGAAGAAGCGAAAGUGACGGUACCUACAAAAGAAGCACCGGCUAACUAUGUGCCAGCAGCCGCGGUAAUACAUAGGGUGCAAGCGUUGUCCGGAAUUAUUGGGCGUAAAGAGCUCGUAGGUCGUUUGUUACGUCGGAUGUGAAAACCUGAGGCUCAACCUCAGGCCUGCAUUCGAUACGGGCAAACUAGAGUUUGGUAGGGGAGACUGGAAUUCCUGGUGUAGCGGUGGAAUGCGCAGAUAUCAGGAGGAACACCAAUGGCGAAGGCAGGUCUCUGGGCCAAUACUGACACUGAGGAGCGAAAGUCUGGGGAGCGAACAGGAUUAGAUACCCUGGUAGUCCAGACCGUAAACGGUGGGCACUAGUUGUGGGAACCUUCCACGGUUUCUGCGACGCAGCUAACGCAUUAAGUGCCCCGCCUGGGGAGUACGAUCGCAAGNUUAAAACUCAAAGGAAUUGACGGCNGAGACGNGCGAGACGACGACGAGGAGAG